GAGCUGGAUGGCGGAAUGUUUGAGCCAACCAGGAUUCUACUGUAUUCAGCAAUGCUUUGGCUUCCUUCUAACUCUGAAUGUGUGUAGAAAUCAACACCAUAGUUUUAUUUUAGUAUAAAAAAAGUGCAUUGGAUCUUUUACCGUGCAAUUCAACGAUCGAACGAAACAGCUAACAGACCUGAGUAGCAGACCUAGCAGAUUGUCAAUGUGAUAGGAAAGACAGUUGUCAUACGCAACCGAGCCCAAGGUUGUUACAGAGCCACCUCAGUAACAUUGUACUACAAAUGGACACCAUACAUAUGUGACUUUCUCUGUCAGCACCACUGGUGGGAGAGGUGGCUGAGGAAGACUAAAAAUGGAGGUUUUGAUUUUGCUUAAUGCUGUUGCCAAAUCAACAUCAAAGGAUCCCUACAGGACAAUAGCCUCAAGAUGGCAAAGUGAUGAAUGUGGGCAUUCAGACAGCACAGGUUUAUGGUCAAUAUCAACACCAAAAAUAUCACUGAACAUCAGAAUGAAUCUUUAAAAUAUCAAUACCUCAAAGAUCACAAUAACAGUCUACAGCAACUGGAAUAAUAACAGUACUGAACCAGGAGAUCUUGCGUAACAAACACCAAAGGAGCUUGAACCUGAAGUGAUGCCAAGGAAAAAUGUUACCUGUGAAUGAAAAGUCAACAGGCACUGCUGAUGUGAUUCACAAUGAAGCUCUAACAAAACACACUUAUCAUGAAAAAGGAUACAUGAAGGUUAAGACUUUAUUCUGCUCUUCCCUGACCAGACGGAAGUGAUGAAUUCACCUGGCACAACAGGGGGGUUGAAAAACAUAGAGAAGAUAUAAGUAAAUUGUACAACCAGUUCAAUAUGUUUUUGUUGCCAGUAAAGUGACUUUUUGUUCUCCGAGUUACCAAUCGUGUUUAAAAAAGUUACAAUGAGUGGGAAGAUCAUCCUGGUUGAAAUGAUGGCAAAACACAGAAAAAUGAUAAGGAACAGGUGUCCAGAACAGACCCUGCAAGUAAAGAUUCAGUAUUACUUACAGUUGAGAUCAUCCUUGGCAACAAUGAUGUGGAGUGUUCCACAUAUUACUUUCUCUUUUUUCCUGUAAUUACCAUAGCAGAACAAGCAGAUGCAUGCUGUUAUAUUCAGGUGAACAAUAUACCAAGUGAUGGAAAGGAACAAAAUUCAGAUUGUGUGGAUGAAGGAAGAGAAGUUUGCAUCAUAGAUCCAACCCUACAGGUUACUCAGCCCAAGACUAAGGAAAGGAUCCAGGAUAUCUUCCAUGGGUUGCUCAACAAUGUGAGUCUUAAAGAACCAGUCAGAAUGAACAUCAGACAGAGGCACAAGUGGAAAGAUGUUUAACAGACUCAAUAAAAUCAGCAAGGAGGUGCAAAUGACCAUGUUAAAAUUGUAUUCAAUGGUGAACUGACAAUAGACAAUGGGGAGCAAGGAGAGACUGCUUCACAGAAAUUUUGGACUGUGUUGAAAGAGCUCUUUUCUCUGUUGGUAAAACAACUGAUUCUAUGGUGAUAUUAAAUCAAAAGGAUUGCUGCUUUGCUGCUGAGCUGAUGGUUGUGUCAAUUCUGCAAAGUGGACCUUCAUCUUAAUUUCUUCACACAGCUGUUUUUCAAUAGUUAAAUCAUGGAAGGCUAUCAUCAGUUAACCAUGAAAGCACUCUAAAAGGAGCAGCAUUGAAGGUAACUCAAUAAACAAGUGAUUUUGCUAUUGUUUUUAGAGGGGGGUACCAAGUAUUUAUCAGCCAUGAUUUGUUUAAAUAAAUUCUUGGGAUACUUUCCAAAAUAAAAUGCAUGAAAAAGUCAUCAUUCAUUGCUAAUUAAGAUAGAAUGGGGUUAUUUGAGUAAAAAGACAAAUUUUGUUUCUGGCUAGCAAUUACCUCUGAAGAAGGUUACGAAUACGGUCAGCAAGAUUGUCUGCACAAAGUUUCCUCCUAUCAAACUUAAGUAGCCUUUUACAGACCUGCUCUAGACUGCUGACAGCAAGGCCCAGACUUGAAGGGAGUGGGGGUGAUUGUCCAGCAAAUAUAAUGGUUGGAAGUAUGUCCUAUUUUUGGUUUGCAGCUGAUGUCAUACAGUUAUGCAAAUUAGGCAUCUGCCAUGUUGGUGCUCAUCUUAAGUGUGAAAUUUCAUGCAAAUAUAGUGCCAUCUCUAUAGUGCCCUCUUU